CUGCGUUGAUGAUCUUAGAUUAAUCUGACUUGGUAUUGUUGGUCUCUGGGUCAACUCUGACUAGGAAGUGACUGCAGUUAAUCUUCUCUCUGAGCAG